rnacentral:rRNA from 1 species
UACAGAGGUCUCAAGCGUUGUUCGGAUUCAUUGGGCGUAAAGGGUGCGUAGGUGGCCAGGUAAGUCGGAUGUGAAAUCCCGGGGCUCAACCCGGAACUGCAUUCGAUACUGCCCGGCUUGAGUACUGGAGAGGAGAUUGGAAUUUACGGUGUAGCAGUGAAAUGCGUAGAUAUCGUAAGGAAGACCAGUGGCGAAGGCGGAUCUCUGGACAGUUACUGACACUGAGGCACGAAGGCCAGGGGAGCAAACGGG